rnacentral:lncRNA from 1 species
CUUGUGUGACGUCUUUCUGAACUUCUUCGAUCGUCCGAGCUUCCAUAAUAUCAUCCAGACUUCUUCGAUAAUGAGCUCCUCCAUUCAUCUACCGGACUGCUCCGAACGCUCUUCGAGCCUCACUAUCAGCCAAUUUUUUAUAGUGUUCGACUAUUCUCUGAAUCUCUUUCGGACAUCUAUCGGCCACGAAUGACCUUACU